AAAAUUUGCUUCUGCCAUUGGGUUUGUCCAUUAUAGCAGUGUUGGAGAACUGCCUGGAAGACAAAUGUCAGUGGGGCACAGGCAAGUGGUGAGUACAGAUGAAGACCUUGUGAUGUUGUGGGUGACAGAGCUGGUGUUUGUCUGAGGUGGAUGCAGUUGUAAAUGUGGGAACAGCAUUUCCUAAAAGGCAUCACACUACUUGUGACCAGGCUUUAGUCUCCCUCCACUAAUGGUCUGAUCACACCUCCUUGCUGCCUUUCCACUCAGCCUCCUGCCUGCACAAGAUCAAUGACUGGUGCCUCUGUACUUCUGGAUCUACAGGUGUGUGCAUGCUUCAGGUGUCUGUGGCUGCAUUUGGGAGUGAGGGGCUCUGUCUGUGCAGGGUGUGGAGUAAGUCUGGUAUGCACAGGAGGCCAAAAGAGAGGGAGCAGAGGGAGCCCUGUGCAUGGUGUGAGGGGCUGUCUCUGGCAGCGUGUAGCUGAAGGGUAUGUCUCGUCUGUACUCUGGUGAGGCUUGCAGAGGCUGGCCCUCACAUAAAGAGUGGUCUGAGCCCUAUGUGCAAAGCAGGGAGGGCAGAUGGGAGACUGACAGGGGCUGUGGAUGAGGGGAAAAUUGUGUUUGGCCGCUGGUCCAUAUGGGCAGGUGGGUUGUGCCUGGCCCUGUGUGUGGUGUCAGCAGCAGAGCAGGCACUGGGGAAGUGCUGACUCUGGAGGUGAUGGUGGGUGCUGGCUGGACAGGGGCUGUGCAGAGCUAGGGGCUGUGGGGAACAGGAGGUUGUGGGGGACUCUGUGGGCCUCAGGGGAGCAGCACUGCUGGGGCAUUCCCAUCAGGAGCUGCUCCCCUCUCAUAAAGGGGAACUGAGAGCUUGAAAAGAUCGAAUGAUCUGUACAAACUACUGGGCAGAACUGAGAAUGGAACCUAAAUCUUCGAAGGCCUCCUGCUGUGCUUUAACCACAAAAGGAAUCCAUCCUUUCCUGGUAUGCUUGUGCAAUGCAUUGUUCUAAAAUUAUGUCCUUACGAGGUUGUACAGAUGUUGCUGGGGGUUGCAUUAGACCUCCAGAACAAUCUCUGAUGGGG
rnacentral:lncRNA from 12 species